GAGGACUGUCUCAACUACCUUUAGAGAACUACACAGAUCACCAUGUUUCCUACCACAGGAGUUCUCUUACUGACAGUAUAUCUAACAGGUGUUCAUGGUCAGACACUGACUGAGUCUGGACCAGUGGUUAAAAAGCCUGGAGAAUCACACAAACUGACCUGUACAGCCUCUGGGUUCACUUUCAGAAGCUAUGAGAUGGCGUGGAUCAGACAGGCUCCUGGGAAAGGACUGGAGUGGAUUUCUUUUAUUAGCACAGCUAGUAGAUCAAUCUUUUACGCCCAGUCAGUCCAGGGUAGAUUCACCAUCUCCAGAGAUGACUCCAGCAGUAAGCUGUACCUACAGAUGAACAGCCUGAAGAGUGAGGACACAGCAGUGUAUUACUGUGCUAGAGAGUCACAGUGGUUAAAUUAAUGGGAGAAUCCGUACAAAAACCAUCUGGCCGUGAUAAGGAAAUGAGACCCAAAUAUUGUAGAUGUUCACAUACAGUAUCAUCACACAGAGACCCAGAGAUAACACACCUGUUAGAUAUGUUGUUAUAGUGUUGUUGAUAAACCAAGAGA